CCUAAAAUUAGCAGCAUAAAAUCACUGUAGCAGUGUCUGCUACUAAUUGGGCCCUCCACACCCACUGGAUCCUGUAGGGGGGGGCUUCUGUUUUAUUCAUCUCCCACACCAGAGGAAUUAUUCCCCAGCCGGAUGCAGGGCAGCAUAAACUGGCCACGCCAGGGAAGAGAUUCCUUGCCCAGGUUUCAGUCCAUGCUCUGGGUUUGCACUCGUUUCUAAUCAAGACAGAUGGAGCUACGUUCUUUUCUCCGGGACAUUAGUGGACUUCAUCAGCAGAGUUCUUUGUGUGUCACAGAGAAGAGAAUUUCACCCAGUUGCGUGUGUACAUUACAGUGUAUGUUCUUAUGAAGCUUAUCGGGAGCUAAUCCCACUCACUGCAAGCUGUCAGGCUGCAAAAAACAGAGCGGACAUCAUACCACGUGCUUUGCGUAACCUCUGGCUGCAGAAAGGCUGUUAAGAAAAAUUAACUUUGUUGUGUUGUGAUCGUAGCUGGGCCGAUUUCCUACUGCCUUGCGCUUUACUGGGUUAUGGAGUGGUGUGCCAAGCAGGUGCAAAGAGAGUGUAAAACACCCCCAGAGUGGUAGCAUUUUACUCUCCCUCUCACAGAAGCAAAAGAAUGAGCCAAGGAGGAAGCAGAUAAAAGAAUAGAAUGGAAGUGGAAAGAGCCCUGGAGCCAACCAUAUCAUCGGAGUUGACAGACUCUGGAGUUUCAAGCUGGGAAAGCUGCUGUUGUGAGGACAGGCCUGUGCUCUGCUGUGGGCCUCAUUCAGGAGGAGAAGGAUGGGUAUUCAUCAGUUCUGCCAGUCAUUCUGCAGCUUUGAUCAAGGGACCAUUUAGGGGGGGGAG